GGACGUUGGGCUGAUUUUCAGUGUUUGAAGGUCUCCUAUAAAGUCGUCCUUUGUGCAGUUGUAAGGGUUAUUUUUUCCGUUCUUUUUUUUUUUCUCUCUCUCUUUCUCAACGUGAACAGCUCUGUUGGUAAGAAUCAUCUAACAGGAAACUGUUUUUUGCUCUGAAGGAGAUCAAGAGAACUCGUUUUGGGGAACCACUUGGGUGCCCAGCUGCUGUCCAUUCUCUACACUUAUCCCACCUGAUGGAAGGCUGUUAAGAAAAACAUCACUGCAAUGCCUAAUAAACAGACAUGGGUCCCAGACCCAAUAAGAGUGAAACCAUCCCCCUAUUUAAAUGAAAUUAUGGCUGAUGAGAAAGACAAAUUAAUUUCUCUGUCCCUAGUAUUACACAAAACUUUGGAUGCUGCCAUUGUUACAAUUUUAUUUUCCCCAGGAGCUCAGAGUCCCACCUUCAUUCUUUUUGUUUAAUGCUUAAGCUUGCCUGUCCACCUAUGGAAGACUAGAAUGAGCAAAGACCAUGUAUUCAAUGAUCUGUAAAUCUAACAGGAAACAAUAUAAUAAAUAUAUUGUGUUUGCUAACCAAAUCUGUGAAUGAUUAGAUCGACUGGUUAAUGAUUAGAUGGAUUAACACAUCAUUUCUAUUUUCUCUCUCCUCCCCUACUUCUUGUUUUAAUGAUACCUUCCAAGUUUUAUUUCUCCAAGCCUAACCCCUUACAUAAUACAAGAGGACAACAGUUUGCAAAAUAAAUAUCUGUUGGCCCUAACUGGUAAAUACUGAAAUAGAUUUCAAGUAAUGUGAGUGUUUUUGAAACCACCUAAAUCUGUAAGCCACCCUGCAAGGAACAAGGGUAGCAAAGUGAAUAAGCCAGACAUGUAAAAAUAAAGAUGACAAAAUGGAAGGCAAUUAAUGCCUGUAAUGGAGGUGGGGAAGGGGGGAAUGACAAGUUAAUAAGAAAUUUAUUUUUAAAUGCUAUCAUCUGCCAUAAAAUAUCCAUGCUUAUUUUAGAAAAUAUGUAAAAUGUUUAAG
rnacentral:lncRNA from 1 species